GGCAGUUUAUGGACUUUUAUUUUGGACUUCAAGAGAAGAUGCCACGUCGUUUGUCAUGUGAUUUAUCCACCUCAGAUUUGUUUUUCCUUUUUAUUUUGUUUUUCCUUUAUAUUUUGGACCAGAAUUAGUUUUGGGCCCAUUUUGGGUUAGAUUUGUAAAAAGGCCCAAAAUAGGGGCUGACUUGGGGACCUAUGGUUGAGUGCCCUUGACUUAGACACUCUCAUUUUAUUUUAUUUUUUAUGUUAGCUUUUGGACUAGAGCUCUCUAUGGUUUUCCUUUCGUUUUCUUUUUCUCUCCUUUAUUCAUUCUUGUGUUUCCG
rnacentral:lncRNA from 1 species